UACGUAGGGGGCUAGCGUUGUCCGGAAUCAUUGGGCGUAAAGAGCGUGUAGGCGGCCCGGUAAGUCCGCUGUGAAAGUCGGGGGCUCAACCCUCGAAAGCCGGUGGAUACUGUCGGGCUUGAGUGCGGAAGAGGCGAGUGGAAUUCCUGGUGUAGCGGUGAAAUGCGCAGAUAUCAGGAGGAACACCGAUUGCGAAGGCAGCUCGCUGGACUGCAACUGACGCUGAGGAACGAAAGCUAGGGGAGCAAACAGG
rnacentral:rRNA from 1 species